rnacentral:misc_RNA from 1 species
GAUGAAGAACGUAGCGAAAUGCGAUAAGUAAUGUGAAUUGCAGAAUUCAGUGAAUCAUCGAAUCUUUGAACGCACAUUGCGCCCGCCAGUAUUCUGGCGGGCAUGCCUGUUCGAGCGUCAUUACAACCCUCAGGCCCCCGGGCCUGGCGUUGGGGAUCGGCGGAGCCCCCCGGGGGCACACGCCGUCCCCCAAAUGCAGUGGCGGUCCCGCCGCAGCUUCCAUCGCGUAGUAGCUAACACCUCGCGACUGGAGAGCGGCGCGGCCACGCCGUAAAACACCCAACUCUUCUGAAGUUGACCUCGAAUCAGGUAGGAAUACCCGCUGAACUUAAGCAUAUCAAUAAGCGGAGGA